rnacentral:rRNA from 1 species
UACGUAGGGGGCAAGCGUUGUCCGGAAUUAUUGGGCGUAAAGGGCUCGUAGGCGGUUCGUCACGUCGGGAGUGAAAACUCGGAGCUUAACUCCGAGCCUGCUUCCGAUACGGGCAGACUAGAGGUAGGCAGGGGAGAGCGGAACUCCUGGUGUAGCGGUGGAAUGCGCAGAUAUCAGGAAGAACACCGGUGGCGAAGGCGGCUCUCUGGGCCUUACCUGACGCUGAGGAGCGAAAGCGUGGGUAGCAAACAGG